GUGAGGAAUUUUCCGCAAUGGGCGAAAGCCUGACGGAGCAAUGCCGCGUGAAGGAUGAAGGCCUAUGGGUUGUAAACUUCUUUUCUUAGAGAAAAAUAUUGACGGUAUCUGAGGAAUAAGCAUCGGCUAACUCUGUGCCAGCAGCCGCGGUAAGACAGAGGAUGCAAGCGUUAUCCGGAAUGAUUGGGCGUAAAGCGUCUGUAGGUGGCUUCAAAAGUCUCCUGUCAAAGAUCAGGGCUUAACCCUGGGCCGGCAGGAGAAACUCUGAGGCUAGAGUUUGGUAGGGGCAGAGGGAAUUCCCGGUGGAGCGGUGAAAUGCGUAGAGAUCGGGAGGAACACCAAAGGCGAAAGCACUCUGCUGGGCCACAACUGACACUGAGAGACGAAAGCGAGGGGAGCAAAAGGGAUUAGAUACCCGUGUAGUCC
rnacentral:rRNA from 1 species